AGCCUGAACGCUGGCGGCGUGGCUAAGACAUGCAAGUCGUACGGAAUCCGCAAGGGUUCAGUGGCGAACGGGUGAGUAAUGUAUCGCUAACGUACCCCUAUGUCCGGGAUAGCUGAGGGAAACUUCAGGUAAUACCGGGUGACAUCAUUUUCCCGCAUGGGAGAAUGCUCAAAGGGCAACCGCAAAGGGAGCGGGCGAUAUCGUAUCAGCUAGUUGGUGAGGUAACGGCUCACCAAGGCAAUGACGCGUAGCCGGACUGAGAGGUCGGCCGGCCACAUUGGGACUGAGACACUGCCCAGACUCCUACGGGGGCUGCAGUAACGAAUCUUCCGCAAUGCACGCAAGUGUGACGGAGCGACGCCGCGUGUGGGACAAGUCCUUCGGGAUGUAAACCACUGUCAGGGGUAAGAAAGUUCUGAUCUACCCCAGAGGAAGGCACGGCUAACUCUGUGCCAGCAGCCGCGGUAA
rnacentral:rRNA from 1 species